AUUGUCGGCGUUGCAUUGGUGGAGAGACAGAUACGGACUUCAUAAUUUGUGCCUCAUGUUUUAAUUCAUUUUGAACAGCUUUUAGUGGGUACAGUCCCCCGUUUUUAGAAAUGGGAGUAUUAAUAAACAUUGACAAGUUUUUGUCUAAGUCUGACUUCCGCUUUCUUCUAAGAAACAAGCUGCCUUGGCCUUGGAGCGAAACACACUAUAUAAAAUCACCAAGAUGUGUUAAUUGUAAUUGGCAGACAAAACCAUUUAUCAUCAUGCAAAUUCACUUUGUAUCAUCAAUGAAUACUGAAGCCAUAAAGAGUUUAUUGGAUGAUAUAUAUGUUUGGUGCCCUAAUUGUGAUUUUUUCUUAUAUGAUCAUUACACUCCAGACGAGUGUGAGAUUUGCAAUGCGUAAUUUUUAUAAUAAUUUCAUAGCUAAUAUAAUAGCAUAAGUAAAUAAUACUUAAGUUUAUUUAAUAUCCCAUUUGUGAUUUAGACAUACUUACCUAUAACGAUUUUUAAUUGAUUUACUUUAGAAUAAGUAUAAUUAAUUUUCACGUAAAAUGUGAUUGAUAGUACAAUAUUCAACGACAGUUCUUUUAAAAUACUAGGCUCGGACAAAAUUUGUGAUUUCUAAGAUAGCUAAUUAACAUCAUUCUCAAUCUUAAGUUCGAAUUAUGUUAAAUAAAAACAUUGUUUUGAA